UCCUGUGUGGCUCAGUGGGUAAAGCACGGCACUUGCAAUGCCAGGGUUGUGGGUUUGAUUCCCAUGGUGGGCA
rfam:Salmo salar isolate Sally breed double haploid chromosome ssa11, whole genome shotgun sequence.